rnacentral:rRNA from 1 species
GAUGAACGCUGGCGGCGUGCCUAAUACAUGCAAGUCGAGCGAACGGACGAGAAGCUUGCUUCUCUGAUGUUAGCGGCGGACGGGUGAGUAACACGUGGAUAACCUACCUAUAAGACUGGGAUAACUUCGGGAAACCGGAGCUAAUACCGGAUGAUAUUUUGAACCGCAUGGUUCAAAAGUGAAAGACGGUCUUGCUGUCACUUAUAGAUGGAUCCGCGCUGCAUUAGCUAGUUGGUAAGGUAAUGGCUUACCAAGGCAACGAUGAAUAGCCGACCUGAGAGGGUGAUCGGCCACACUGGAACUGAGACACGGUCCAGACUCCUACGGGAGGCAGCAGUAGGGAAUCUUCCGCAAUGGGCGAAAGCCUGACGGAGCAACGCCGCGUGAGUGAUGAAGGUCUUCGGAUCGUAAAACUCUGUUAUUAGGGAAGAACAUAUGUGUAAGUAACUGUGCACAUCUUGACGGUACCUAAUCAGAAAGCCACGGCUAACUACGUG